rnacentral:rRNA from 1 species
GAUGAACGCUGGCGGCGUGCCUAAUACAUGCAAGUCGAGCGAACAGACGAGGAGCUUGCUCCUCUGACGUUAGCGGCGGACGGGUGAGUAACACGUGGAUAACCUACCUAUAAGACUGGGAUAACUUCGGGAAACCGGAGCUAAUACCGGAUAAUAUAUUGAACCGCAUGGUUCAAUAGUGAAAGACGGUUUUGCUGUCACUUAUAGCUGGAUCCGCGCCGCAUUAGCUAGUUGGUAAGGUAACGGCUUACCAAGGCAACGAUGCGUAGCCGACCUGAGAGGGUGAUCGGCCACACUGGAACUGAGACACGGUCCAGACUCCUACGGGAGGCAGCAGUAGGGAAUCUUCCGCAAUGGGCGAAAGCCUGACGGAGCAACGCCGCGUGAGUGAUGAAGGUCUUCGGAGCGGAAAACUCUGUUAUUAGGGAAGAACAAAUGUGUAAGUAACUAUGCACGUCUUGACGGUACCUAAUCAGAAAGCCACGGCUAACUACGUG